rnacentral:rRNA from 1 species
AUGAACGCUAGCGACAGGCUUAACACAUGCAGGUCGAGGGGCAGCACAGGUAGCAAUACCGGGUGGCGACCGGCGCACGGGUGAGUAACGCGUAUGCAACUUACCUAUCAGAGGGGGAUAACCCGGCGAAAGUCGGACUAAUACCGCAUGAAGCAGGGGCCCCGCAUGGGGAUAUUUGCUAAAGAUUUAUCGCUGAUAGAUAGGCAUGCGUUCCAUUAGGCAGUUGGCGGGGUAACGGCCCACCAAACCGACGAUGGAUAGGGGUUCUGAGAGGAAGGUCCCCCACAUUGGUACUGAGACACGGACCAAACUCCUACGGGAGGCAGCAGUGAGGAAUAUUGGUCAAUGGGCGCGAGCCUGAACCAGCCAAGUCGCGUGAGGGAUGAAGGUUCUAUGGAUCGUAAACCUCUUUUAUAAGGGAAUAAAGUGCGGGACGUGUCCCGUUUUGUAUGUACCUUAUGAAUAAGGAUCGGCUAACUCCGUGCCAGCAGCCGCGGUAAUACGGAGGAUCCGAGCGUUAUCCGGAUUUAUUGGGUUUAAAGGGUGCGUAGGCGGCCUUUUAAGUCAGCGGUGAAAGUCUGUGGCUCAACCAUAGAAUUGCCGUUGAAACUGGGGGGCUUGAGUAUGUUUGAGGCAGGCGGAAUGCGUGGUGUAGCGGUGAAAUGCUUAGAUAUCACGCAGAACCCCGAUUGCGAAGGCAGCCUGCCAAGCCAUGACUGACGCUGAUGCACGAAAGCGUGGGGAUCAAACAGGAUUAGAUACCCUGGUAGUCCACGCAGUAAACGAUGAUCACUAGCUGUUUGCGAUACAGUGUAAGCGGCACAGCGAAAGCGUUAAGUGAUCCACCUGGGGAGUACGCCGGCAACGGUGAAACUCAAAGGAAUUGACGGGGGCCCGCACAAGCGGAGGAACAUGUGGUUUAAUUCGAUGAUACGCGAGGAACCUUACCCGGGUUUGAACGCAUUCGGACCGAGGUGGAAACACCUUUUCUAGCAAUAGCCGUUUGCGAGGUGCUGCAUGGUUGUCGUCAGCUCGUGCCGUGAGGUGUCGGCUUAAGUGCCAUAACGAGCGCAACCCUUGCCACUAGUUACUAACAGGUAAAGCUGAGGACUCUGGUGGGACUGCCAGCGUAAGCUGCGAGGAAGGCGGGGAUGACGUCAAAUCAGCACGGCCCUUACAUCCGGGGCGACACACGUGUUACAAUGGCGUGGACAAAGGGAAGCCACCUGGCGACAGGGAGCGAAUCCCCAAACCACGUCUCAGUUCGGAUCGGAGUCUGCAACCCGACUCCGUGAAGCUGGAUUCGCUAGUAAUCGCGCAUCAGCCAUGGCGCGGUGAAUACGUUCCCGGGCCUUGUACACACCGCCCGUCAAGCCAUGGGAGCCGGGGGUACCUGAAGUCCGUAACCGAAAGGAUCGGCCUAGGGUAAAACUGGUGACUGGGGCU